AGUCGAACGAGAAUCUGCUGAAGGAGGAUUCGUCCAACGGAAGCAGAGGAAAGUGGCGGACGGGUGAGUAACGCGUGAGGAACCUGCCUUGAAGAGGGGGACAACAGUUGGAAACGACUGCUAAUACCGCAUGACGCAUAGAGGUCGCAUGAUCUUUAUGCCAAAGAUUUAUCGCUUCAAGAUGGCCUCGCGUCUGAUUAGCUGGUUGGCGGGGUAACGGCCCACCAAGGCGACGAUCAGUAGCCGGACUGAGAGGUUGAACGGCCACAUUGGGACUGAGAUACGGCCCAGACUCCUACGGGAGGCAGCAGUGGGGAAUAUUGGGCAAUGGGCGCAAGCCUGACCCAGCAACGCCGCGUGAAGGAAGAAGGCUUUCGGGUUGUAAACUUCUUUUAAGAGGGAAGAGCAGAAGACGGUACCUCUAGAAUAAGCCACGGCUAACUACGUGCCAGCAGCCGCGGUAAUACGUAGGUGGCAAGCGUUGUCCGGAUUUACUGGGUGUAAAGGGCGUGCAGCCGGGUCUGCAAGUCAGAUGUGAAAUCCAUGGGCUCAACCCAUGAACUGCAUUUGAAACUGUGGAUCUUGAGUGUCGGAGGGGCAAUCGGAAUUCCUAGUGUAGCGGUGAAAUGCGUAGAUAUUAGGAGGAACACCAGUGGCGAAGGCGGAUUGCUGGACGAUAACUGACGGUGAGGCGCGAAAGUGUGGGGAGCAAACAGGAUUAGAUACCCUGGUAGUCCACACUGUAAACGAUGAAUACUAGGUGUGCGGGGACUGACCCCCUGCGUGCCGCAGUAAACACAAUAAGUAUUCCACCUGGGGAGUACGAUCGCA
rnacentral:rRNA from 1 species